rnacentral:rRNA from 1 species
UUAGAGUUUGAUCCUGGCUCAGGAUGAACGCUAGCGGCAGGCUUAACACAUGCAAGUCGAGGGGCAGCGAGAUCAGUGCUUGCACUGAUUGUCGGCGACCGGCGCACGGGUGCGUAACGCGUAUGCAACCUACCCAUUACAGGGGGAUAACACUGAGAAAUCGGUACUAAUACCCCAUAACAUCCAGGGAGGCAUCUUCUUGGGUUGAAAACUCCGGUGGUAAUGGAUGGGCAUGCGUUGUAUUAGUUAGUUGGUGGGGUAACGGCUCACCAAGACAACGAUACAUAGGGGGACUGAGAGGUUAACCCCCCACAUUGGUACUGAGACACGGACCAAACUCCUACGGGAGGCAGCAGUGAGGAAUAUUGGUCAAUGGACGCAAGUCUGAACCAGCCAUGCCGCGUGCAGGAAGACGGCUCUAUGAGUUGUAAACUGCUUUUGUACGAGGGUAAACGCAGAUACGCGUAUCUGUCUGAAAGUAUCGUACGAAUAAGGAUCGGCUAACUCCGUGCCAGCAGCCGCGGUAAUACGGAGGAUUCAAGCGUUAUCCGGAUUUAUUGGGUUUAAAGGGUGCGUAGGCGGUCGGAUAAGUUAGAGGUGAAAUCCCGGGGCUCAACUUCGGAAUUGCCUCUGAUACUGUUCGGCUAGAGAGUAGUUGCGGUAGGCGGAAUGUAUGGUGUAGCGGUGAAAUGCUUAGAGAUCAUACAGAACACCGAUUGCGAAGGCAGCUUACCAAGCUACUUCUGACGUUGAGGCACGAAAGCGUGGGGAGCAAACAGGAUUAGAUACCCUGGUAGUCCACGCAGUAAACGAUGAAAACUCCGUGUCGGCGAAACCAUGUCGGUGACU